rnacentral:rRNA from 1 species
AUGAUUCGUGGGACGUCCUGCCGGUGGUGGCGAGUCGAAGGUGUGCUCCCGUUGUGGUCUCCACUUCGGUUCUUGCGCGCCCGAGGCGGACCCCGAUGAAAUCCUACCGCGGUGCUCUUCGCCGAGUGUCGAGGUGGGCCGGCACGUUUACUUUGAACAAAUUAGAGUGCUUAAAGCAGGCCGGCUGCGCCUGAAUACUGUGUGCAUGGAAUAAUGGAAUAGGACCUCGGUUCUAUUUUGUUGGUUUUCGGAACCCGAGGUAAUGAUUAAUAGGGACAGGCGGGGGCAUUCGUAUUGCGACGUUAGAGGUGAAAUUCUUGGAUCGUCGCAAGACGGACCGAAGCGAAAGCAUUUGCCAAGUAUGUUUUCAUUAAUCAAGAACGAAAGUUAGAGGUUCGAAGGCGAUCAGAUACCGCCCUAGUUCUAACCAUAAACGAUGCCAGCUAGCGAUCCGCCGAAGUUCCUCCGAUGACUCGGCGGGCAGCUCCCGGGAAACCAAGCUUUUGGGUUCCGGGGAAGUAUGGUUGCAAGAUGAACUUAAGGAAUUGACGGAAGGG